ensembl:lncRNA
GGCGCCUCGGCAAACGGGGAGAAAUAGUCCUAUUUAUAUUGUUUAAAAAGAAAAAGAAAAAAAAGAAAGAAAGAAAGAAACGGCACAUGGUAGGAUUCUUGUUAAUAGCAUGUCACCAACUCUGGGGAGAAGCAGGACAGUGGGGCGCCAACUACGAAUCACUAGGCGGAUUAACGCGAGCAUUUAUGCUUGAGGGAAAAAGUGGGAGAAUAUGGAAGAAUUGGAUCAACUAGGAAGGUAGAAACAUCUGGACUUCUUCAUCAAUACACUUCACUCAGCACAGAUGAAAAUCGGAAUACCUCAAAACAUUCCAAAGACUCACCAUUGACAUGCAGAUUGAAGCAGAAAUAAAUGCAGAAAUGAGAUGUGGAAACUCUAGAGAGUGCCUGAGGUUCUCCUAUAGAGGAUGUGUUUUCGUGGAAUUCACACUGUACACUAACUGCAGCGAGUUCCGGCUACCAUGACAUAUAGAGGUGCAUCCCCUCUAUAGGAUGCGCUGCCAGAAUGGACGUCCAUAUAGUUUUCUCUCACAACAAAAAGUGUACCGCUGUUCUUCCUUUGUCUAGUUUCUCAUUAAAAGUGGAAUAUUGCUUUAUUCAUGUUUUAUUUACAUGUACUCUUUCAGUUCUUGGUACACUUUCCAUUCAACCACCCCUCCCCCUUUAAAAAACCCUAAAAGCAUAUGGAAAUAAAAUACCAAAUCCUUGGCUAAGGUUAAAUGCCUAUGCCUAUAAUUUAAUUGGAGGGUUUAGUCAGUAAAAGUGAAAGUCAUUCUCCAAAUCUCAGUUCAAGCAAAAUGAUGAAAGCAUCCCAUCUUAAAUCAAUUUCAU